GAUGAACGCUGGCGGCGUGCCUAAUACAUGCAAGUCGAGCGAACGGACGAGAAGCUCGCUUCUCUGAUGUUAGCGGCGGACGGGUGAGUAACACGUGGAUAACCUACCUAUAAGACUGGGAUAACUUCGGGAAACCGUAGCUAAUACCGGAUAAUAUUUUGAACCGGAUGGUUCAAAAGUGAAAGAGGGUUUUGCUGUCACUUAUAGAUGGAUCCGCGCUGCAUUAGCUAGUUGGUAAGGUAACGGCUUACCAAGGCAACGAUGCAUAGCCGACCUGAGAGGGUGAUCAGCCACACUGGAACUGAGACACGGUCCAGACUCCUACGGGAGGCAGCAGUAGGGAAUCUUCCGCAAUGGGCGAAAGCCUGACGCAGCAACGCCGCGUGAGUGAUGAAGGUCUUCGGAUCGUAAAACUCUGUUAUUAGGGAAGAACAUAUGUGUAAGUAACUGUGCACAUCUUGACGGUACCUAAUCAGAAAGCAACGGCUAACUACGUG
rnacentral:rRNA from 1 species